rnacentral:rRNA from 1 species
AAUCAACGCUGGCGGCGUGCCUAACACAUGCAAGUCGAACGCGAAAGGGACUUCGGUUCUUAGUAGAGUGGCGUACGGGUGAGUAACGCGUGGGUAAUCUACCCUUGGGUGGGAAUAACUAAUCGAAAGGUUAGCUAAUACCGCAUAAUACAGUGAUGUCAAAACNGUAAUGUGCCCGAGGAGGAGCCUGACGUCUGAUUAGGUAGUUGGUGGGGUAACGCCUACCAAGCCU